GUCCUAGGACACCAAGAAAAACGGGGGCACCAAGAAAAAAAAUGAGAGGAAAAAAAUCAGAUUGUAUUUGAUAUUUCAAACAAAGCUUCUAGGUGAUAGGCGAAUAUAUCUUGUGUAUUCAACCCAGUGACAGAGAACUUGACUCUAGGAGGGCAUGCAAAUAUUAUGCAAGCGGAUCUGUCAGAGUUGUGGAAAUGAAAGUUAACAGUUCUGGGGCAGGGGAUGGUGGGAGGCCCAGAGCCGACGUAGACCGAGAUGAAGAUGAGGAAGACCAAGAGCAGAAAGAGGCUGGCUGCUGCGGCGGCCACAGCGAAGACCUCCAUCCGCCGCGCAGUCUCCCGCAGCGGGUACUCGCGGGUUGAGGCCAGCGCCGCGUUGCCAUGGGAACCGCGGCGGCGCCUCUGCGGAACCCUGCGUUUAUUACCGGAGAAUUGACUGCGCGGACGCCGCCCCCACCCCUGGGGCUUAGGGACGCGCAUCCUCCCCGCUCCCGGUCACCUUGUGCAGAGAAAGCAGAAAUCAGACGCGGCGUGAAGGACGCAGUGCAAACGCUUCGUAAGCAUUGCCUGAUGGCGGAGCCAGACGCCCUUGGUGGAGGCCCACGCGAGAUCGGCCGGGACAACCAACCCCUGCUUCCCCGCCGAUCCUGCGCGUUUCCCAGGCCCGGGUGCUACGCGGAACGCAGAGAGCCCCCCUCGCUGGCUGGGGCUUCGCCGACACUCUGGAACCCCGCCCGGGGGAGGAACCGCAGCGCAGAGCCCCGCAGAUUGGAGACAGAGGCCGGACGUGGGCGUUUUUGAUGAACCGUUCCAAAGCCAGGCUGCGUUUUACUCCUCCUCGCCCUCGCCCCGCAGGCUCUGGAAGGGGAGGGAGGGAGCAUAAAAGACAUUUACCCCGAGUCCUAGUUAUUGGAACAUGUCCCUAACACGCCGUCUGUCCCGGGUGCUAGAAACAUACUGCAGAAAGACAAUGUUUGGGUAAUUAAUAAAGAGACAAUAACCCGGCUUCCUUCCAAACACUCGCUGCCCAUAGCAGUUAAAAACGCUAGGCGGGAGGCCCUGCGAGGUGCGGAGCCCUGCGCGGCCGCCUUCGGGACGACCCGACUGCGCUCCUCCCGGCCGGAUUUCCACCGGUCACGUAAUUAGGAGAAACGCAGAAGGCAGAUGAUUCCCCUUUUACUCGUCACACUUUCUCCUCCCCGGUCACUGGCGAAGCCCCUGCCCCGGAGACAUCCGGCUCCGCGCCUGGGCCUGAAAAAUCUGCCUCAAGGGAGCGAAGGUCUUGUCGCUCCAGGUUAUAAAUAUUAAUAAGCUGAAAGGCUCGGCAUAAUAUCUCCCUUUAAUUGCAACUCAACCAAAAAUCCAGCCUCCUGCCACUCAGGCCUCACUAAGUCGGGAUUGCUGCGGUUUGGUGUCAGGAGACUCCCCCGGCCCAAAGCCGUUCUUUGUAUCCGCUGCCCAACAUGGAAACCAUAUGCUGCGCCUCUCGGCGUGUUAACAUCACCCUCAGAUUCGAGCUGACUCCCCUUCGACUUUCAUUCGCUCGCCUGCAUCCCCCGGCCGCUGGGCGCCCUCUGUUUCUCUCCCUACCUCCAGGGGACCCCGACUCUCUCCAACCCGCCCCCAGCCCCGACCUCACGCUACUGAGGCAGUAGUUUGAAGGGUUUGACAAACUGGGAAGGCCCUUAGCGGGGGGAUGGGAAGAGCCUCGGGUUUGACCCGAAGGCACCUGUGGCGGCCUCGCCCCGGAGAGGCCUGCGGCCGCGGAAGGGCUCAGUCCGCCGGCGGCCAGUGAGCUGUCGGUCGCAGGCCGGGCCUAGGCAGUGGCCCGGGGCGUCGGAAUCCCUCCGCCCAGCCGGUCGCUUCUGCCCCGAGGGCUGCUCCCGGCGCCCCGAAGGAGCGGCGUGCGGUUGAGCAGGGGCUCUGGGUUGCUGGGGGCUGCUGCUCCUGGGCUCAGCGCGUGUUCCCCGGGUCGGAGGUGGGGGUGAGGACAUGGGCUGUUGCCCGUCGCCGAGCGUCCUCGCAUCGCGCCGCCAAAGGUGCUAUGGAAUACAGAAGCAGUACGAAGCAAUACGUCGUUUUGUGCAGAAGCAAUACGAAGUUGACCUAGCAACUGCUGUUCCCAAGAUCACGGCCAGCAGAGUGCGCCCUGAGUGGGGAGGGGUGCUGUGAUGGACGUGAGUGGCUCACGGACCUUGAAGAAUCCCACAGAUUCCCUUCCGAAGGCCAGCUUCUUUGAGCCCCUGUUCAUGAAUCUCACACUUCAAAAUCACAUGUCAGUAGACUGUUGAUCCUUUUAGGCACCUGGUGUCCCUGAGCAGUCCUAUUUAGGAAACACAGCACUACAUUUGGGGGGGGGGUUUGCUCAAAUGAAACAUCAGCUCAUGGAUGAAACUUAAGCGGGAUAAAUGUUCGACCUAGAAAUAAAACCUUACUAAACAAGAGAAAGCAUGGCAUGAUAGAAAGAAUACAGCUGUUAGAGGCAGACACCUAGGCUUGAAUCCUUGCCUCAGCUGUGUGACAAAGGGUGGAUUUCUCAGCCGGGCACAUCGUCGUUGUAGCUAUGCUGUGAUGAUUACGAUAUCAUCCAUGAAAGCACUUAAUUCAUGGGAGCAACUGUCCCCAAAAGGAAGACACUCACGUUGCUCCGAUGGUACAUCUGGGGGCUCUCAGGGAAGCAGCGGCACCGGGAGCGAUUUGGAAGAAAGGAUUUAUUAUAGGGAUUAGAUGAAUCCAGGCUGCUGCUGCCUAAGCCAUCGGUGAUCCCCAAGUCCUGAUAGAUGAGCAGGGCUGGCAGUUGGGAAGAAGAUCUGGAGACAGAUGGCAGAGAGUGAAGACCAACUGGAGUGCACAGGGACAAACCAAAAUCUCUCUGCCUUUUCUCUCACUGACCACAACUGGGAGUCCCAGGAGGCCUGCAGGGUAGCUGGUACCCUUCACCUUGGAACAGCGUGCACACCUAGCCCAGGCCUCAGAGGAGUCGAGGCAGGUGAGCUUGUGCGAGCCACAGGAGCGCCUGCAGGGGCCUCUCCACCCUGACAAGGUGAGCCAACAGGUCACCAGCAGGCGCUGCAAGGCCCUUGCUGUCCUACCCAGACCCUCAGGGUGUCUUGGCUGCCACUUGGCUUCCGCCUUUCUAAUCUGGUGCACAUUUCUCCUAGCCAGAUCUCACCGGGACCUUGCUGGAAAGGAGGUUCAGGGGAACCGUGUCAGGUUCACUCAGCUGACCCAAAACUAGCCUCACAGAUGGGAAGCACAUGUUGCUCUGCAGCCACAGAAUAGGCUUCUCUGCCCUUCUGUGGUCUUGCAUCCUUCCUUGCCCUGCCACAUCCCACUCAGACCCUUCGCACUUGGACAGCUCUCUGUGGAGUCCGUCCUUGGUCACAUGGACACUCUGUUAGGUCCAGGGGACAAGACUGUGAGAUAAAACAGCUGUUUUAACAGACUACCCUUGUGACAUUAAUUUAGUGACCACACACAUAAAUGUACACGUCCAGCUAUGGUCAAGGCCCCAGCAGAGAGCACGCGUGGUCUCUUGAGAAGACACAGAAGGAGGAUUUCGCCUAACCUAAGAAAACACCUGGAAACCCAGAGAUUAAAGUAUCACUUCUCUCAACCUCCAGAGUCGUCUGAAGCACCGAUAAUGCUGUUGAUUCUCAUCAGCUCCUGUGGGUUAGUCUCAGACCACCGGCAUCCCUGAUGCGUAGCCCUCAUAGUGGACCAAAAUAAUGGUCGUCGAAGAUGAUAUCAAGAUCUGAAGAAACUUCUCAGAGUUGCGUUAUUCAACGAGUUCAUUUCUUAGGGAAUUCCAGUUCAUGUUCCAGUGGAAAGCUGAGUCGUGGAGAAGGGGACAGGAAUGGAACGCUCAUGUGGUGUCCCCCACGUUGCUUACCCCGGGGGUCAGUGGGACAUCCCACUGAUUGACUCAUUUUGCAAAGCGUCACCGGCUCAGCUUCUUUCUUUCUCCUCUGGCCUCGCUCGGAAUGGAAAGCAGCUGGCCAGCCUCCUUCCUCCUGGUUCCCGAGUUCUGCCCUUUUGCGUUUUCCCUCCAUAGCUCGUGGCCCUUCGUUGCUUCCCCAGCAUCCAAGGUACCGUGUCAGCAGGAAAACUCAUUACCUGCCUGCCUGGUUCCGCUGUCUCAGCUCCUUCUUGGAAGCAGGUGGCGUCUCCAUGAUGAAUACAUUAAAGAGAAAAAAGAAAGAAAACAUUCCUGGGUUGUUGUUAGACCGGCUUCUUACUGGAGACACAGUCCUUCUUCAAGCAGGCUCUCACUCUCUGCUGAUAUUCUAUGCGUCUGCCAAAACCAUAUAAAAAUCAUUCAUGGAGAAAAGUUCCCAGCGCCAGCAGCCAAUGCAGUCCCUUCCCGAUCUGAAGUUUAACGCUGGCCUGGAGACUGGUGAGGACUGGAUGUUGGGGAAGAUCCUGAGUGAGGAAAGCUUGAAGGGAAGAUGAAUGUAUUCAGUGUCUAGCGGUCCCCGCCCCGGGGGGAAGGACGCACACCCUUCACUUCAUCACAGCUAAAGCUGAAAAGAGACACAAGUUUGUGAUAUUUCUCAGUGACGUAUACCUUCUCAUCUGUCUGGAAUUGUUUUCUGCCAACAAGGAGAUGCUGCUUAAAAAAGCCCAACCCAGGAAACCCUGGCAGUUUGCAGUCAUCAGUACUUAAUAUCUGCGCUUUCCCGGUACAAGACAUCCUGUCUCCCUUUCCUCCUUAAAAAGUAGGAGUUACAGAGAGGGUCAGAGGGAAAAAUGCUUGUCUGUAGUAAGGAAUGGCUUUGAUGAGACGCACACGCACACGCACUGCCCAUGGCAUUUAGAGUCACACAAACUUGCCUUGAGCCGACAGUCCUACGGUGACAUGGGCCAUAUAUUCAAGACCUUCGAGACAGAUAAGAAUUCUGAAGUCCCCCGUGAUUACACUGUGAGAGGAAGCCUUUGUUUAGCUCUUGGCAGUGUUCGCAGGACAAUGGGCUGCCAGUGAUAUAUGCAAAUGUGUCCUUUCCCCAUUACUGGACGUGACCUUUAUGAUUAGAUUGGAAGAGCAACAUCAAUUCCUGGGUUAAUAGGACUUAUUGGCCUAAAGGGAGGGAGCAUGUUCUCCUGGCAAGCCUGAAAAACUCAGAAUCAGACCCACCAAAUUCUCAUCUUCAUCACAGCCCCAGGGUUCUUGUGUGGCUAGAGAAAUCCUUCACCUUCUGUGCCUUGUUUGUUCUUCGGAAAUCAGGGGAAAGCACCUUUCUCAGGAGCCUUAGGAGCCUUUAAUAAGAGUUUAAAAGUCAGAAGAGAUGGCAUAAAUGCUAUCACGAUGUUUCAGAUCUCCUUGCAGGACCCUUUUCAGAUUAUUCCUAACCUCCAGUGCCAUGGGCUAAUUCCAGCCAGCUUCAGAGACAACCGUAUCCAUAAGAAUCAUCAUGAAACAGAGUUAAGGGUUACUGAUUAUCCGCAAAAACUGUUCCAUUGCAGUUACACACAAAAAAUGCGAGAAGGUGACUUUCCUGGAGGAGUGAUACAGCCUCACCAAGCAGCACCCCUGCUCCAGCCACCCCUCAAAUCAGCUUUCCCCUCACUUCAGAAGCAAUGGAUUUAGCUGUAAUGUUACUGCUCUGUCUAUACUCAUCAUGGUUAUUUAUCUGCUCUGUGAUAACACUUUACAUUAAAAAAAAAAAAAAGCCUUAAAAUAACUUGACCAGAUUCUCCAAGUCAACAUGUAUUAAAAAUCAGGGGGAGAAAGACAGACUAACUUAAAGACACAGAACAGAGCUAGCGUGUGCUGACAAGUACCUACAGUCACCGACAAAGCAAGCAGAGAUGGAUGUGGGUACAUUUUUUAGUAACUUCAAAAAAAAAAAAAUUAAAAGUAGUGUUAUCAUUUAAAGGAAGAAGGUGUCAGAUCCUCUAACAAAGAGGGGACUCCCCAUACUUCUAGUUAAAAAAGUAGACAAGGUUUGCAACUGCAUGAAUAGUUACACACUUUACAUUUAACUGUUUGCAAAUGUAGAGCUCUACUGAAGUGUAAGGGUCAGAAGAAGCUGGCAUCACCUUGUUACAAUGUUCUCUGUGAAAGAGGCAUCUGGCUGGGUUUCCCACUCACAGGGCUAAAACGGUUAAGCAUUUAAUUGCUUAGAAAGUAAUCCUAUUAUUUCAGAUUUUUGUGCAUAAUGAAUUCUUUUUUUCCUCUAGUUUGAGAACUUAUGAAGGGCAAGUGAGAUCCUCUGGUAAAUUUAUUUUUGAAAAGGCCCUCGACAGAUGUUGUAACAUCUAAGCAGCGUCGGUCUCAGGCAGAGGCUCUGAGCAGCAGAUCGGGGCGGUGGGGGGGUGGGGGGUUGGGUAUCAGAGGGUGGACUAUGCCAGACCCACGUGACAGUCAAAUGAGGUGAUGUCUGCCUUUGGUGCUGAGCAUGAAAUCACCGUAAAAACAGGACUUUUGAGAAGCAGGGCAUAAAUGAAUCCUUUGUUUCAUCAAAGCCUCUAAUGUUUCUCAUAGGAAGUGGUGCGUUUGAGGAAAUGUCUCAGUCCUGAGCAUUUAAUAGUCAGUAUGCGCGCCUGUGAGACGUUUGGGGGAAAGAGGGAAUGCCUUUACAGUUUCUGACACAAAUGACUGGACAAGAAGGUGAUUAGAAGAAGCAGAGGAGGGGGAGGAAAGGACAGAUGGGUCAACAGAGGUGUUGGAUGAAGAAACUGCAGGCACCGCUGAGCUCGAUAGGAAUUUGUUGCUUGUGUGGAUGGGAUGGACAGAGUGAAAAGGUUUGUGGUCACACAGAAAGGUCAGUCAACGCUUUUCCUUGAAGACCCUCUGUCUUCCCAGCUUGCAUCACUGGAAAAUGGGAACUUCCGAUUAAGUUGAUUAAUAUGCCCUAAAUGAACCACUUAAUUUAAAAAAAAAAGUGUUCAAAGCCUCCAGUAACAUUCACACCGCACAGAACAAUCCAGCCAUGAUUGAUGUGUCUCUUUGAUGAGUCAUAAAGCCCUUUAGGAUAAUGCAGUCCCUGGGCAUCAUUUAUCACCGCACAGUUCAGCAAAAGCAUCCUGUGAACUCUCCUCUGCAAAUAACGUUGAUUUUUGAUAAAUAGGGCUUUAUUUUACUUACAUUUUAAUUCUUGCUUUUAGAUUAUGAAAACAUGCUCUUAUCUGAUCUGUGCUUGAAGUUUUGACAGGAGAAUUUUGCAGGAGGGGCCACCACAGCCUUGACCUUGGUUGAUGGGUUUGACCUUUGCUAAGUGGGUUGCUAGGGGCGCUGAGAACAGGAUCUUCUGGAAGUGAGAAGAAUGGGCACAAGCAAAAAACUGAGAUUUGGGGUUUUAUGUUGUUGCGUUUCUCUCUGCGACCUUGCCUAUAUUUACAAUUUAAUGAGAUUGACAUCUUUUUUAUUAUGCUUUUUAAACUUUUUCAUUGCUCUUCAAAGAUAGUUUAGGACGUUUUCAUUAUUUUGCCUUUUUUUGCUGUUGUUGUUUUUGUUUUUUGUCUUUUUGCCUUUUCUAG